UCUCUGGCUCAUCAUCUCUGCUGACGCCAAACCGCGGAUCCCACCUUUACCCUAACUUUUUAAAUAUAGCUUCCCUAAGGGCCAUGGGCACCGGACACUAGCAGAAAUCAAUCCCAAAUCAGUGACAUCAGUUUGAAGAGAAUCAGAACCACAGUAAGAGACUAUCUCAGGAAGAUUUUGUUCAAACAGCCUCAACAUGUGGACCACUAAUCCUACUCUGGACCUCAUGAAGGAAAAGUUUUCAAGACAAACCCUGCAAGCAUGUGAAUGUUAGAGGACUUUGACAAGACUGGUUAAGCAGUAAACUAGUCUCAUCCUUAACCAGAGCCCUACUAUAAUCCAGGGUUUUGUACUAGUGCCAAAUACGUGACAUCUGGGCAUCUUUCAAAGAAGAUUGGCAAAGCAAAGUCCGUAAUAGACUUCAUCUUCUCUUCGGUGAGAGGAAGAUCUGCCUGGGCUAAG